UACCUUAAAGGUACCCAAAUGAAAAGUGCAUGAUGCCCUAGAGACCAACAUUGUGGCAACAGUCAUCCUCCCAGUUGGAGAACAAAAAGGAAGUCUGAUGGUGCCCUAUAGACAGACACAUUUAACUCAAGGGAAGAGAUGAGGAAGAAGAAUUCCAAUUGAGGCUCUUUUCCUGUCUGGGUUUUCUUUCCCUCCCACCACUCUCUAUGACUUACAUGGCAACACUGGCUCUCCUUAAUCAGGGGUCUAUCUUGAGUUCUGUGUCUCAUUAGAACCUGUGUUAGCUGGUGAGAGUCUGCUGAGUUAAUUAGGGGAGCAGGUGGAAAACCUAGAGAAAUAACAGAACACCUGCUAUUGUGGGGCCCCAGGAAACCUCUUUAGUGUUCACCUGAGAAUCAUCCUUUCUUGUAACUGUGCACAGUUGGUGGACAUCUCAGACCAGUCUUGCUGAACCAGACUGUGUUAAAUUUGUUGAACUAAACUCUUUUAAUUCAGUUUGGUGUUUCUCCUGUUCUGUCUUUGACUCUUGCUUUCUCCUUCACCUAGUUCUUCUCCUGCCUCUCUCCCUUUCAUUUCCCAUCUGUCUCACUUUCCCCAAGUUGGUUUGUCUCUACACAUUCCUCUGGCACCUUUCACCAAAGAUCCUUAGAGCUCAGCAUAGUUGUUACCUAGUAGGCUUUGCAGAGCAUUUAUCAUUGUUUUCAUCAAAGGACCAAUUAACUCCCUGCCGCCCUUCACCAACCUGCAGCAAGGGGCCAUGCUGUUCCUGGUUAGUUUAAGGCAGCAGGGAGCUAAUUGUUCUCUUAGUUCGUGUGGUGGUAAACUCCUUUUAUGAUGUUCACAGGUUCACACCCUACUCUUAAAAGAAUCUUUUUUUUUUUUUUUUUUUUUUUACUAACUUCUUGGCUGAUUACUACCCUGACUGUAAUCUACUUUUAUGGCAGGAAAGGUGCUGUCAAGGCAGCUCCAGGCAAAGUGGGAUAAUACAGUGUCACUUGACACCUUUCACUGUGAGCUCUGGCUUCCUUAAGUAAUGGAGACAGACUGCAUCAUUAUUUUUAAGGAAAAAGAUGUCACUGUUUGGCUGAGUUUGUGUUCACUAAUGUGCAGAUUUGGGAGGCCAUCAUUUUCUAUUUUCCUUGGAUGCAUUAUCAUGAGAUGGCUAGAACAGAGGAGGCCCUGUCUCACAUCCAGUGCCAUGGGGUCUUGAAAAAUGUAGGCAUUCUACAAAGGUUACUGUUUACAAACAAUGUGUUCAUAAUCACCUGUGCAUUUGUUAGGGUCUAGUUAACAUCUGCAUGCACUGUGAAUGAGUAUUAGAAAUAUUCAUAGGAAAUGCUAAGUGCAUACAUCUUGUAUUAAAAAAAAAAUCCCUGCAAUACCUGUGGAAGAAAUCUGCAUGUUUUGGAUAUUAUGGAAGCAAAUAUGUACAGUAAAAAUGUUAUCUUUUUCCAUAAAGCCCAAUUAUUGAUUAGCACCUUUGGUUCUACCUAUACAGCAUGUAUCCUAUGAUAUUGCCAACAGUGAGAGUGAGAUUUGCCUACCACUACCACAUAUACGUGGAUGUACAAUAAAGAUUAAGCCACUACUACUGUAGUAAUUGAAAGAUAUUAAGAAAAUGUUGUAGAAUUGAUUUACUGACAUUACUUUGCACCGUGGUGAUUCUUUCAGUUGAAUCACAACGCGCACACACGCAACAGUCACAGUCCUCAUUUCCUUUUGUGCCUUACCUUCCUCAUCCCCUUUCUCCUCCUUCUAACCCUCCUUUACUUUCUUUUCGAAUAGGUAUCUUUCCAUCUGUCCUUUAAUAUUUUUUAAAAGUAAGUUAUUUUGGGAGUUCCCUGGUGGGCUAGUGGUUAAGGAUUUGUCAUUGUCACUGCUGUGGCUCAGGUUUGAUCCCUGGACUCAGAACUUCUGUGUGCCAUGGGUGUGGCCAAAAAAAUAAAUAAAUAAAGUUAUUUCAAGUAGCAACUUAAGGAGUAUCUUAAUAACUGCUAAUCCUUCCCUUGCUUCAGUUAUCUCUCCAGCUCUCUCGAUUUCAGCUCCAUCUCUAAUCUUACAGCCUCUACCUUACUCUAGCUGUACUUAGAGUUGUUGACUUGAGUUUCUCCUGCAUACAAUGAAUCCUUCACACAGCUUCCAGACAAUCUUCUUUUCCCUUCUCUACCCCAACCCACCAACAUGUUCCUGAAUGCCUGAAUCACAUUUGUGUUCCAAGACCAGAAUUGAGGACUCUGUCAACUGCCCACACCAUUCCUGUCCACUGGCAUCACUUACUACUCUCACUUUUGGCCUGCCUCUAUUCUGGCCAAGUUCUGUGGCCUCAUACCCCCUCAAACUAAUAACUCAUUUCCUUCAUGGUGUUUUGGAGCCUUGGAACAGAUUGUCCUGUCAGCACCCUGCCAGUGCAUGGGCUUCAUUUCCUUAUGAGCAGCUCAAACCUCUCACCUUCCUGGAAGUGUCUGAAGAUUGUCAUCUAUCUUUAUAUGUGUUCUUCUACUUUGCAUCAUUUUACUUAAUGCAUCUGUAUAGCUGGUGGCUUUCAUUCAUUGCUUGGUUACCUAGCAGUCUUUCUCAAGGAAUUCUGUAUGGGUGUGUUUUCUUUUUUCCUGUUAAAUUAUAAACUAGCGCUUAUUGAUGAUCUUGUUUCCAAAAUGUUUUUGCAUUUUCUUCUAUUCCUGGUAUAGAAUUAUAUACAUAAUAGACACUAUAUGACUAUUUCUUAACUAAUUUUUCUCUCUCUUUCCUAAUGUAUAUUCUAUCAUUGUUUCUUUUCACAUCAGUGUAAAAAAACUCCCUAGCUAGAUUAUAAACUCCCUGCAAUUGUAGAUAAACUCUUUUGUAAAGCUCUGUUCUCAAUAGGUAACCAAAAUUGUCUUCACAAAAUAAAAUAAUGAAGUCAAUUAAUUUAAUUUUAUUGUUUUUCUAUUAUUAUUAUUUUUCUUCUUUAGCUACUGUUUCUGUAAUUCAUCUUGCUGUACUUUCCAACUGCUUUGGAUAUUAAUAAUAUCUUUAAAGUUUUAAGCUCCUUUAGGGCAGAGACUUCUAUCCUUGUGUCUUUAUACUGUACAAUACUGAAAAUACUGAACUGAAUAAGUAAUAGAUACUAAGUAAUAAUUUGAAGAAUGACCUUAAAAGAAACAAUAUUCUUCUAUUCUAUAAACAGCCUAAUAUAAUCAGUGGUAGGAACAUGGACUUUGUAGCUAAACUGCUUGCAUUGAAUCUGAACUCCAUGCCCAUGAGCUAUGUGACUUGGCCAAGUUACUAAAUCUCUCUGUGCCUCAGUUCACACAUUAGUAAUGUGGAAAUCACAAUAAUGCCCACCUCAUAAGGAAGUUGUGAAGAUUACAUUGAGUUAGUGCUAUAAACUACUUAUUAGUAAAAAGCCUGGUCUAUAAGAAUUGCUAAAAGGUAUUUGCCAGUAUAUGCUGCCCUCAUGUACGAUGGUCCAGUUGGGUAGUUCUCAUCUUUUUUUUUUUUUUUUUUUUUUUUGGUCUUUUUGUCUUUUCUAAGGCCGUACCUGUGGCAUAUGGAGGUUCCCAGGCUAGGGGUCUAAUGUGAGCUGUAGCCACUGGCCUAAGCCAGAGCCACAGCAACCACAGCUCAUGGCAACGUCAGAUCCUUAACCCACUGAGCAAGGCCAGGGAUCGAAUUGCAACCUCAUGGUUCCUGGUCGGAUUCAUUAACCACUGAGCCAUGAUGGGAACUCCAUCAACUUUAAUCUUUGAUGGUGAGAAUAAUCACACUCUGCUUUGGACCUUUUCUUAUUAAAAAUGAAAUAAUAAUUUCUUAAAUUUUAAAGAAAUAGUAAUAUUUACAGUUUCUCAUGAUCCUUUUCUGUAGAAUACUAUUAAUGAUUGUUCUUGUUAAUAAAAGAAGAUCCAAGAAUACAAGUCUACAAAAUAACAAAAAAUGCAUUGUAAGGUCAAAUAAAGUUUUCAGAAAAAUUAUAGAGCAUACACCUAGAUAGUGUUUGUGUAAAUUGUAUUUAAAUCACCACUACAGUAUUUUGAGCUCCUGACAUGAAGGAUGUGUGUAAGCGGGCCUUGGCAUUUUUUGGAUGAUGGCUUUGGAGAGAGGUGCUUUUUUAGAGUUCUCCUUGAGAAAUUAUAAUUCAAACUUAUGCUCUGGGUAGUUGGAUCACCCAUGAUAAAUCUACUUUCAGCCCAGAAUCCCUUCCUUCUCCCAUAACCAUCUCAAGCCUUCACUUCCCCACCAGAUAAACUCUUAUUCAUAUUUCAAAACUCAACUCAGGUGUCAUCUUCUAAUUUUUUGUUCCUCCACCUCUACCUCCACCUCCAAAAAAUUAAUCAAUUCUCAAAGCAUCAUCCACAACUUACUCAUGUUCCUACCCUUGUAUUUCUUACCUGUGUUCUAAUUUAUUUGUUUACAUGCCUGUCUCCUUUUGGCUUAGUUACUUUAUGGACUUUACUUUAGUAAGUCCUCUAUCCCAACUUCCCAGCCUAGUUUCUAAUAUACUUUAACUGUCCAAAGUUUUUGUUUUGUUUUUGUUUGUUUAUUGAUUUUAUCACAUUUUAAAGUCAUGUAUAAGAAUGUUAUAGAGUUGGUGAAUAAGUAUUCAAAGAGUACCAAGAGCAUAAAUCCAAAAUUGGUAAUAAAGCUCUAAAAAUAAAUUAGAAAAGAAAAAGGAAACAUAUGAAGCAAAGAACAGUAAAUGAAGCCUAUCUCCUGGAAGAGACAUGUAAAACUCUUUAGUAAUUUCUAUUGUCUAUGAAAAGAGUUGGAAUGACACAGGCAGAAAAACUUUCAUCUAUGUUUACUCACAGAAAAGUAGACUUAGCAGAAGAGUGGGACAGGGCAUGGUAUAGGAUGAACUUCCAAGUCAAAUGGAUUUGCUUUAUAAUUGCAGUUCAGCAACUUGUCAUGUGGUUUUAGGAAAUUUCUACAUUCUUUCUUAGCUUCACUUUCUUUAUGUAGCCCAUGAAAUCUACUCCUGAGUGCAGGUAUGAGGCUUAAAUAACCCAAGCUUACAUGUUUGGCAUAAGUAACUGCUGAAUAAAUGUGAACUAUUGAACCAUUAGAGUAGAUAAGAUCCAAGUUCAUUAGUGGAAACAAUAUAAUGAUAUGACAAUUAUCUUAACAGUUUAAAUUAGCAAAAUUCUUGAGGACUAAAUCCACAGAGCUUUAUUUUAAAACAGUCAUAUAGCAGUGCUACUAGAAUUCAUGCACUCACAUACUGAUAUUCAUAUACACUUUAUUUCUCACUGUAUACCAAUUUUAUUAUUGCAUUUAAUUUGUUCUUUUAAGGCAGUAGUAUCUUUAGUACAGAAAAAACUAAAUCAGAUACAGUGACUUAAUGGUGCUAUAAAAUAAUAAUGACUUUGAGUUUUUUUCACAAACUUAAACAUAAGAAGUAGAUAUUUUCUGCUUUAAGUUUCCAAUGAUUGAGUACUUGAUAAGGUUCUAGAUCCACAGCCCAUCAGUACGUUAAAAGAAAAGGUUAAAUUCAAGCAAUAUCACUCUCUCCAUUGCUAGUAGAUAUGCAUGAUGAACUAACUUCUCUGUGGACACAGACACUUGCAACUCAACCUAGUUCCAUAUGUGAUUAAAAGUUUGAAAACACUGUCAAGAUUUGACUGUUUUGAAUGCCUAUCUUUAAACUGUUAAGACUCCUGGAUUAUGACCAUAGCUUUAGAAAACAUUAGACUUAAGAUUUAUUUGCAUUCUCUUUUCCCACCCUGGCCACUAGAAAAUAAAUAAGAACAGUACUUUUUAAAAGUCCAGGAGUUUCAGCAUAUAAGUAGACACACACUUUGCAUUUCAACUUUUAAUAACAAGGUUAUUUUUAGGGGAAGAAAAUUCAUUAUUUCAACAUGGUUUUGUUAGCAAUCAUCAAUAAGUUCAAGGAACUGAACAAAAACAGAGCAAAAUCUGUCUUUGAUCACUGAAAAUGCCCACUAGAUCAAGAAGAUUGAACAACUCCAAGCUUGAAGUGCUGUAGAGAGGUGAUUGAUUGAAAUAGAACUAUGUUAUGAAGAUCUUCUUCCACACAAUGUUGAAAUUAAAAUCUCACAUAGUCCCCACUUUAGUAUGACUGCAUAUUAUUAUUACAUCAGAUUAUUGCUUGUGUGCUUAUUCGUAGCAUCCUUCUGUGAUGGCUUUUAUUUCUAUUUUCAGAAAACUCAGAAUAUAGUAAACUUAGUAACUUUCUCAAACUCCUGAGACAGUUAGGGCAGAGAAAGAUUCAGUGGACAGCAUCAGAAAGUAAACUUAUACAUUGUAAGUUUUCUAGUAAUUGCUAAGAGGUAAUCUUUAAAAGGUAAAGGAGAUAUGUGCCCACAUAUAUAGGAUUAGGAGAUAUUUGGAAGCUUGAAUAGCCCCCGCCCCUGUUAAUAAUAAACAUCUUUGUGGACAGACUCAUUUGUAUAGUCAUUUAUCUCUCCUUCUUCAUCCCCUCCCAGACCCUUUCUUUAUUACAAGGGACUCCAAAGAAAAUUUCCCCAUAAAAACAUGGCCUGUGUGCCUUACACUAUUCUCCUGCCUAUAUACACACUGCCUUAGUUUGACAGCUAAAUCAAUUAAUCAUUACCAGGCUCCUCCUGGCACUGACACAGAGGGCCUUUCAGUUG
rnacentral:lncRNA from 1 species